rnacentral:tRNA from 1 species
AGUAAUGUGCCUGAUUAAAGGAUUAUCGUGAUAGGAUAAAUAAUGUAAUUAUAUUACCAUUACUA